rnacentral:rRNA from 1 species
GACCUAGGAUCAGGGAUGCUGUAUAGAGGGGCUUGCGCCAUAUUAGUUAGUUGGUAGGGUAAUGGCCUACCAAGACGAUGAUGUGUAGCUGGACUGAGAGGUUGAACAGCCACAUUGGGACUGAGACACGGCCCAAACUCCUACGGGAGGCAGCAGUAGGGAAUUUUCGGCAAUGGAGGAAACUCUGACCGAGCAACGCCGCGUGAAUGACGAAGUACUUCGGUAUGUAAAGUUCUUUUAUCAAGGAAGAAAAGCAAAUGGCGAACCAUUUGUUUGCCGGUACUUGAUGAAUAAGCCCCGGCUAAUUAUGUGCCAGCAGCCGCGGUAAGACAUAAGGGGCAAGUGUUAUCCGGAAUUAUUGGGCGUAAAGGGUGCGUAGGCGGUCUAGUAAGUCAGUGGUGUAAUGGCAACGCUUAACGUUGUCCGGCUAUUGAAACUGCUAAACUUGAGUUAGAUAGAGGCGAGUGGAAUUCCAUGUGUAGCGGUAAAAUGCGUAAAUAUAUGGAGGAACACCAGAGGCGUAGGCGGCUCGCUGGGUCUUAACUGACGCUGAGGCACGAAAGCGUGGGGAGCAAACAGGAUUAGAUACCCUGGUAGUCCACGCCGUAAACGAUGAGUACUAAGUGUCGGGUUAAACCGGUACUGAAGUUAACACAUUAAGUACUCCGCCUGAGUAGUACGUACGCAAGUAUGAAACUUAAAGGAAUUGACGGGACUCCGCACAAGCGGUGGAUCAUGUUGUUUAAUUCGAAGAUACCCGAAAAACCUUACCAGGUCUUGACAUGUUUUUGCAAAAUGAUAGUAAUAUCGUGGAGGUUACCAGAAACACAGGUGGUGCAUGGUUGUCGUCAGCUCGUGUCGUGAGAUGUUAGGUUAAGUCCUAAAACGAGCGAAACCCUUAUCGUUAGUUGCCAGCACGUUAUGGUGGGGACUUUAACGAGACUGCCAAUGAUAAAUUGGAGGAAGGUGAGGAUCACGUCAAAUCAGCAUGCCCCUUAUGACCUGGGCUACAAACGUGAUACAAUGGCUGUUACAAAGGGUAGCUGAAACGCAAGUUCUUGGCCAAUCCCCAAAAACAGUCCCAGUCCGGAUUGAAGUCUGCAACUCGACUUCAUGAAGUUGGAAUCGCUAGUAAUCGCGAAUCAGCAUGUCGCGGUGAAUACGUUCUCGGGGUUUGUACACACCGCCCGUCAAACCACGAAA